UUAUCCACGUGUUUUCCAGCCACCUUUUAAAGCUGUUAUUGGUCUUCCACUCGCUAGUGUCUUUAACUUUUUGCAGGGCAUUUUCGUAUGCAUCCUCAGUUCUUGCCCGUGCCAAUUGUCUCAUCAAAGCCAAUAUAAAUUCACGGUUGUCUGCGAUUCCAUUAUCUUUUUUAGAUGUCCAACGUUCCCAUGCUUGCUCUCGAUGAAAAUCGCAAAGCAGCACUUUGCAGUCUGAAAAUAUACCCACAUGUUACACUCCAUGAUGAAUUGCAGAGCUACGUAGCCAUGGUGUUACAUGGUUGAUUUAGUGCAAUAAAGAAUGCCAGAUGUUUUGGUCAAAACCUCUUGCAGCUCGUGCCUCAUACCUGGAAAAACAAACUCAAUUGAUUUUAUUUCUUCUUCACAAAGAUCGGUCAUCAUAUGCUGUGGGUUCCAUCGUGGAUUCCAUUGAUGUAAAAUACUGAGAGCUUCUGUUAUACUAGCUGUUGUUUCAUCUUGUAUUACAAAGGAUGAAACGAUAGCAUAAUCAACAUUAGUCUUCACAGCAACAAAAAAUAAUGGCAAGGAAUACUUUGUGGUUUUGUAUGUGGCAUCUAGGAAAGCUAGUUCCUGACCAUAACGACAAAGUAACCUUGAUUGCCAAGCCGUUUGGUGUAUAAACAAAAGUCGCCCUUUUUGCUCCUUUGCAGUCGUCAUAACCUCUUCAUUUAAACUUAUGUCGUCAUCGCUGUCUUCUUCAUUUUAUUGCAAGACGAGCAUGUCAAACAAGAGCAUAUACCAUUCCAAGUCUGUGCGUGGUGUGAUCUUCUGGCCGCGGAAAUGAAAUAUAGAUUCUGCGUUCAGUUUUACUGAGGAGCUGGGGUUUAUUAAAUGGGCUCGCAAAUCAGCAGAGGUCGUGUCACGUUUCUUCUUUUAGCGUCAUGUGGCACCUAAAAAUAUUGCACUCUAAUCUUUUAGAAAAAACCAAUUUAACAUGUGUAUACUUGUCGAUUUACUAUGAACAAAAAUAAAGCCACAGUAUAAGCAA